UAAUCAGGCUAGUCUCGUUAGUGGCGUGUCUGCCGCAGCUGGCGUGCGAAUGUAAAGSCUGACUAAGCAUGUAGUGGCGAGGAUGUAGGAAUUUCGGACGCGGGUUC
rnacentral:misc_RNA from 1 species